CUUUAAGCUUUUGUUCAGAUUCGAAGACAAAAAAGUUGAAUACACAGGCUAUCCGGCGGAACGAAAAGAAAUCAAACAAUUAAAGAAAGAAAAGCGUACGAGGAAGCGCAGAGGAGGCCUUCCUUUCUUCGGCGAGCUGUGACUCCAACUGCAGGAUGCGAGCGUUCUUUUGGGAAAUAUGGUUCCGACUCUCGAGGAGCUCCACAAGAUGGGCCAUGUUGUGAUUAUAACCCUGAGAAUCAAAAACAACUACAAGAUAAACAAGGUAGCAAUAAUUAAAUAAAGAGAAAAGAAUCAAGUUAAUGGUCAAGCUCACCAGAUUCAUUAAAGAAAAAUGUUGUUGUAUGGAGAGAUUCAAAGAAGUGUUCAAGAUAAAAUCCUGGUCAGCAUUUAAGAAAGUGUCAGAGUUAAAGGAAGCCUGGGAUUUUGUAGCUUCGGAUAUCGCAGAUGGAAUUGAACGAAGCACCACGAAGAUGUCUCGUAGAAAUUUCAUAUCAGGAAGAUAUGCGGGAUCCUUAGAUUUGUCCGGAUGAACCUGUGCGGAUGAAGAAGGCUGGGUGGAAACUAUAAAUUGAAUCCCCACUCUUCAACAAUAAUGGUGAAACAGUACAAUAACAAGAGAAAUUGAACCUUUUCUUCAUCUACUCUAUCUCCUCCAGAAAACCAGAGGAACGGAAAACCUCAUUUUCUGAUGAACUGUGUUCAUCAUUAAAUAAACUCCAUACUCAACCUCCUCAUGACCUCUCAUCUCUCUAGAAACCCAAACUUUUCCCUAAUAAUCGUUCAAUUCACCAGAUCUAUUCAAGGUCGUCAAUUAAUCAAUAACUUGUGUUGUUUUUUAACCAUUUGAAGAAGUUAAAAAAGAGCACAAAAUGAAAACCCUAACUGGUGUUGGAUUUCUUUUCGUGGUAUGGGUAAUUCUCAGUAUUUCAUCUACAAACAGCUAAUUUCAGGCACAUCGGUAUGGACAUGUGGGAUGUGGCUCUGGAGAGAAGGGACAAAAAUUUUGCUCGAGAAAUUGUAUACUGAGAAGAUCUAUGGGUUUGGAACGGGGUGCUGGUUACUACACUGGAUAUUUAAACAAUGGGAGGAUACAUAAGCUUCAUUAUUUGUGUUUCCAAUAGAUUUCCACAAAUAAUGAAGCUUAUAUAUCACUUUCAGUUCUCAUCAGUUCUGUUUGUAGCUUAUUGUGGUGAUGCGGUGGUGGUACUAGAUAUGGUGGUGGCAGAAUAUCUCCAGAGAUUGCUUUGCAAGUGCACUUGGAGCUUAUUAUACUAAGGAUGAAGAUUAUGAAGUAACUGUACAGUUGGUGGUAAAAGCUGGCUAUCCAAAUGCCGAGGAGCUGGCACUCAAUGACUAGUUUCGCGUAAGACAUACCCUUGAGAUUAUCAUGGUUUGAAGUGGGUGAUUAUGAUUGGUUGAGUUUGCUCCUUGCUUGAGGCAGAAGACAUACAAGGAAAUUAAAGAAUGAGAUGAAGAACUUUUUUGCUUGCAUAUGUCGACAUGAAAUCCUUAACUCUGAAAAUGUUGACAACCCUAGCAAUGUCAUGGAGCUUAGGUUUUGGUCUUUUUACAAAGAUAAACAUCAGCAAGGACUGGCUGCAAGAGAAACUGGUGCACUUGAAGAAGCGAAGGAUAAUGUUGAAAAACAAGUGGAGGCUCUUACAUGGCAUUUGCAGUUGAUAGCUCUUGGCAUGUUCAAGGUGUUGCGUGUAAAAUGUUACUAUUAAACCAUGGAGUAUUUUAGAAAAAAAUUGUUGAAACUCAGAACGUCGUCCUUAGCAACAAUCUGAAAAUAGAAGAUUCAUAUUACCAUACGCGGUGUUAUACUUUUUAGGUCAAGUUGCCUUGGUAGUUUUGUCUGAAAAAGAUUCAGAUUUGGAUCAUGAGUGAUUCUGGUUUUUUUAAUUUGUACAACAGAUUCUGUUUUUAAUAAAAUGCUAAUUCAAUCUUUUGUUUGUCA